UUAAUACUCCCUCCGUCCCAAAAUUCUUGUCUUAAGUUUGUCUAUAAAUGGAUGUAUUUAAAUACUAAAACGUGAAUAGAUCAUAUUUAAACAAAUCUAAGACAAGAAUUUUGGAAGGGAUGAAGUAUAUA
rfam:Hordeum vulgare subsp. vulgare, WGS project CAJW01000000 data, contig: morex_contig_7133